CCCACGGCUUACGCCGUGGGCUAAGUGCUGUCGUCCCUGCCGGGACU
rnacentral:sRNA from 1 species